UAAGGAAUAUUGGUCAAUGGACGCAAGUCUGAACCAGCCAUGCCGCGUGGAGGAUUAAGGCCCUCUGGGUUGUAAACUCCUUUUAUCUGGGAAGAAAUGUUUCGAUUCUUCGGAACUUGACGGUACCAGAGGAAUAAGCACCGGCUAACUCCGUGCCAGCAGCCGCGGUAAUACGGAGGGUGCAAGCGUUAUCCGGAUUCACUGGGUUUAAAGGGUGCGUAGGCGGGCAGGUAAGUCAGUGGUGAAAUCUCCGAGCUUAACUCGGAAACUGCCGUUGAUACUAUUUGUCUUGAAUAUUGUGGAGGUAAGCGGAAUAUGUCAUGUAGCGGUGAAAUGCUUAGAUAUGACAUAGAACACCAAUUGCGAAGGCAGCUUACUACUCAAUUAUUGACGCUGAGGCACGAAAGCGUGGGGAUCAAACAGGAUUAGAUACCCUGGUAGUCCACGCCCUAAACGAUGAUUACUCGACAUUUGUGAUACACUAUAAGUGUCUGAGCGAAAGCAUUAAGUAAUCCACCUGGGAAGUACGAUCGCAAGAUUG
rnacentral:rRNA from 1 species